GAUGAACGCUAGCUACAGGCUUAACACAUGCAAGUCGUGGGGCAUCAUGAUGUAGUAAUACAUUGAUGGCGACCGGCGCACGGGUGAGUAACGCGUAUCCAACCUACCCUCCACUCAAGUAUAGGCUUCCGAAAGGGAGAUUAAUCCUUGAUAUCGUCAUUCUCUCUCCUGUUAGAAUGAUAAAAGGACAUCGUUUCGGUAGAGGAUGGGGAUGCGUUCCAUUAGGUAGUAGGUGGUUUAACAGGCCACCUAGCCGAUGAUGGAUAGGGGUUCUGAGAGGAAUGUCCCCCACACUGGUACUGAGAUACGGACCAGACUCCUACGGGAGGCAGCAGUGAGGAAUAUUGGUCAAUGGGCGCAAGCCUGAGCCAGCCAUGUAGCGUGAAGGAUGACGGUUUUUUUGAUUGUAAACUUCUUUUCUGUGGGAUUAAAGUGUGGCAUUUAUGCCAUAUGGCAGUAUCUCAGGA
rnacentral:rRNA from 1 species